ACCAUAGCUCUGUGGUUGAGCAUCUUCUUUACACACAGAAAGUCCUAGGUUCAAUCCCUGGUUUCUCCA